GGCUGGUGCGCGCCGGGCACCUGAGCCGGAAACCUCCCCGCGGCCGCGGCCCGGGCCCCGCCGCCGCCGCCGCCGCCCGCGGUCCCAUUGGCCCCUCCGCUGCUGCUGGAAGGCCACAGAACUCCAUGAGUCAGCGCCACCCUCUGGAAACCUCCCAUGGGACCCAGCAACAAAGGUGCCACCAAUCCCUGGAAGGCUGCAUCAGUGUGCUGCCCUAAGAGCCGCUGAUGGGUGGCCAUGGCGAAGCUCUUCGCCCUAAUGUGCACUUUCUCUCGCUCGUCCCACCGAGACACUUUGCGUGCUGAGCGCAGCUGCCUGUACGGAGUGUUUACCUCAUCUGGCACAGUUCUCUCCACCCUAGAAGAAACAGCCCUGCCCUACACACCAGGGUGGAAAGAAGAUUUCUGCUCAAAGCUCGCAACCUUUCUCUGAGGUGGUGGCAUACGGAGACCGAAAAAUGAACGUGCUGUUUCUUCUUUUAAAUGGCGCUGAUGAGAAGUCAGUCUCAGACAGACUUUUGACACAUGGAGGAUCAAGCUUUUCCUGUUCCUCUCUGCUGCCCUGAAACCGUUCAUUGGUUUAACCAAUAUCAACGAGCCACCACUAUGAGUGUCGCAGAUGGAGAUGCAGCCCCGUCGACAUAACUGUGCGGCCCGUGGAGAGGAUCUUGCUGUCUAUCUAGUGACAUGUUAUGUCUAACCCCUGGGGUCUCGGAGGGGACCAAGAAAUAGCACCCGUCUAUCUUGACCAAAUUCCAAACUUAUUGAGAAAUAAAGAG